GUGUUACACCAGCGAGGGUCACAUAUGGCUCAUUUGAGCAACGCUUGUACGGAACAGACGUUACCGAUGGCAAAGUGUCGAUGACUAAAGUGCAUGGACGCUUGUACAGAUGUUCAGUCACAGGUGCAAUUCUGAAGGACACUCUCCACUAACAUACAUGGACUUGAGCGACGUUCAAGAACAUUCUGUCACGCCAACUUCUGCAGCAUGACUGUUCUCCCGAACUGAAAGACCUCCCUUGUAUGUCAACGUCAAAAAUCGCAGACCAAUCCAAGAUGUGCCGCCUCCACCUACUUGGCAACCUUAUUCUCACAUGAAUGAAGCUGGGCAUCCGGACCCUGAAUUUCCCAUCGGGAGUCCCACACAGUCCGCCAAGUAUACAACGAUGCAAUGGCAGACGAGGGAAAUGAAUGAGCGUCUACUUCAGCCAGUGGGGCAGUCAGCCCAGCUGUCUCAGUCCCAGCGAAUAAGGCAACCAGACGCACAAACUUCACAGUAUGCUGUGCGUAUCCCAAGCAGAAAUCAACCAGAUGAGUGGCCCCUUCCCCGUACUGCUGCAGUGUAUAUCCUGCACAUGGUAGGAACAUUUUCCUGUAUGUUAGAAGUGCAUUGCAGAUCAUAAUUCCGUAGUCAGCAUCAUAAAAAAGAAAAAAAAAAGGAUCGCGUACUAUACCAAGCAUACGAUUCCCUCUGUCAUUAAUUUAUUUCCUUUUCUUUCUCCCAGAUAUUGUGCGUGAGUAGCUGGUGCUCUUAUCGAGUGCCUACAUCUCCAUUUUUCUUCUUUUUCAUUCCAUUCAUGUUGCACAUAUUUCCAAAUCCGUAAACACAUUUUUAACACUCUAUACUCAUGAGACAAUCAUGUGCUUUGACGUAAAAAAUGUCAUCUCCUGUUUAGAUGCCAACAUCUUGCAGCGGAGCAGAUGCUUUGCACAUCGGUCACAGGUCUUAGGGUGUUAAUAGGUGCUUCUCGAGGGCUGUCUCAGGAGAUCUCCCCACAUCGGAACUCAAGUGCUCAGAAUUGUGCAUACCAUGAAGCUUAUUCAGGAGCACCACACCGUGCGGCUUGACCUCAUAUCGGCCAAGUUAACAACGGCACCAACGGAAAGGCCUGCAGAAAAGGACAUCUUCAGGGAGCCAUUCUAAUAUCGUCAAGAGCUUCUGCGAUUCGAUGUCUCUCUUUACUAUCACAAAGGCUAUAAUUGGUACGUUCUGCACAAUCCACGCGCAUUGUCUACAUGUAUUUUGGAUAAGGUUGUGCGUAAAGUUCUGUUUUCGUCAGUUGAGUAUCUCAUGGCUUUUCUUAAUGAUGCGCGAGCACGUUCUUCUGAGAUGAGGGGGCAGUGACGAAAGAGACAUCACUAGACUGAUUUUGUGUGAACUUAUGUCAGAUGAUGUGGCACAGAACUUCAGCUACAAGGGUCGUAAAGGAAAAAAAAAAGAACUUAAGCGCCCUCAAUCUGGGGCAAGAUUGUCAUUCGUAUGUACUUUACUCUGCAUACUAAAGUGCUCAUAACACUCAAAUCAUCCAUUUGCAGCCUUCAAACUGUCUUGUCAAGUUCUCAUGCAUGCUCAAACGGCUAGAAUGUAGCCCGCUCGAAGCUUCUGCUUGCCAAAAGUGCAGAGGGGAGUUAUACUGUGAUAUUUUCUGGAGCAUCGUUUAUCUAAUUGAAGUACUGUAUACAAUAUUUCCUUGUGAUCUGACUUAAAACGUUGUUCCUUAAAACUCUAUUAUGCGAGGUAAAAAUCGAAGACUUUUGUCAUGUACAGUAUGUGUCAGCCACAUAUGAUGGAACUAGGAAUGUAACAAGAAAAGGCUAUAAGUGUUGUAUAUCACGAACAGUUGUUGAAUGUUUCGAAAAGUAGUAUGUUUUGGUCACAUGUAUCUUUUCCUUGAGACAAAUUAAAUAGCUGUGAGUGAUUGCUUAAUAAUGCCUUACGUAGACGAUGUUCGUAGCAAAAAGAUCGCGAAAUUACCACAAUACGAAAUAACACCAGAAGUGACAAUCUGUCACGAGCUUUGUGCCUUUCGAUAAAAUAGCGUCCACGCUUAUGUGAAAAAAUGUCACCUUUUCUGUGGAUUUCCAAGUUGUAACGCGGUGCAUUUUUCUUGCAAAAAGAAAAAAAGUGUACUUUGACUGAGACACAGGGGUAGGUGUUUCUCAACCCAGUCUAUACCUUCUGGUUGACACAUAGACCCUAUAUAAGAAGUGAAAAAACUUUGCUUUGUUCUCCCUAAGUUAUUUAUUAGCAGCAUUGGGGGAAAACGGGUAGGCAGAUUAACAAGGCUCAUCAGCUGCUGUUCGCGUAGAACGCUUCGCCUGUUUUAAUACCGUGGUUCACAUUAGCUGGGACACCCUGUAUACAAACAUUUCUCAGUUUACUGUUCAACCCACCCUUUUUCUAUUUUCUCUUCUGAGAGAGAUGAGAGAAGUUUGUGAAUGUGUUUGUGAAGCGAGAAUAGGUGGAACCUUGCACCUCCACUGAGUUUCAGAGGUUUUUCCAACAGUGGGGUGUUUAUGUACUCUUGUUUGCAGUACUUGUUGUGUACAAGGCCAUGUGCGCUUAGGAAAUAAAUAUAUUUUACUGAAA